AUACGUAGGGGGCGAGCGUUGUCCGGAAUGAUUGGGCGUAAAGGGCGCGUAGGCGGCCCGGUAAGUCUGGAGUGAAAGUCCUGUUUUUAAGAUGGGAAUUGCUUUGGAUACUGUCGGGCUUGAGUGCAGGAGAGGUAAGUGGAAUUCCCAGUGUAGGGGUGAAAUGCGUAGAGAUUGGGAGGAACACCAGUGGCGAAGGCGACUUACUGGACUGUAACUGACGCUGAGGCGCGAAAGUGUGGGGAGCAAAUAGGAUUAGAUACCCUGGUAGUCCACACUGUAAACGAUGAAUGCUAGGUGUAGGGGGUAUCGACCCCUUCUGUGCCGCAGUCAACACAAUAAGCAUUCCGCCUGGGGAGUACGGCCGCAAGGUUGAAACUCAAAUGAAUUGACGGGG
rnacentral:rRNA from 1 species